rnacentral:rRNA from 1 species
CCUACGGGAGGCAGCAGUGGGGAAUAUUGCACAAUGGAGGAAACUCUGAUGCAGCGACGCCGCGUGAGUGAAGAAGGUCUUCGGAUCGUAAAACUCUGUCCUUGGUGAAGAUAAUGACGGUAGCCAAGGAGGAAGCCCCGGCUAACUACGUGCCAGCAGCCGCGGUAAU